rnacentral:rRNA from 1 species
ACCCGCACAAGCGGUGGAGCAUGUGGUUUAAUUCGACGAUACGCGAAGAACCUUACCUGGCCUUGACAUACUAAAAAGCUUUAAGAGAUUAGAGUGUGCUAGCUUGCUAGAAUUUAGAUACAGGUGCUGCACGGCUGUCGUCAGCUCGUGUCGUGAGAUGUUGGGUUAAGUCCCGCAACGAGCGCAACCCUCGUGUUUAGUUGCUAACAGUUCGGCUGAGAACUCGAAACAGACUGCCUACGCAAGUAGGAGGAAGGUGAGGACGACGUCAAGUCAUCAUGGCCCUUACGGCCAGGGCUACACACGUGCUACAAUGGGGUAUACAAAGAGCAGCGAUACGGUGACGUGGAGCAAAUCUAGAAAAUGCCUCUCAGUUCGGAUUGUAGUCUGCAACUCGACUACAUGAAGUUGGAAUCGCUAGUAAUCGUAGAUCAGCAAUGCUACGGUGAAUACGUUCCCGGGUCUU